rnacentral:tRNA from 1 species
AGUAGGAUAAGCUAUUCAAGCUAGUGGGUUCAUACCCCAAAAAAGAGAUUAUUCUCUCCUACUA